CCUACGGGUGGCAGCAGUGAGGAAUAUUGGUCAAUGGGCGUAAGCCUGAACCAGCCCAGUCGCGUGAGGGUUGAAGGUUCUAUGGAUCGUAAACCUCUUUUAUAAGGGAAUAAAGUGUGGGACGUGUCCUAUUUUGUAUGUACCUUAUGAAUAAGGAUCGGCUAACUCCGUGCCAGCAGCCGCGGUAAUACGGAGGAUCCGAGCGUUAUCCUGAUUUAUUGGGUUUAAAGGGUGCGUAGGUGGCUUUUUAAGUAAGCGGUGAAAGUCUGUGGCUCAACCAUAGAAUUGCCGUUGAAACUGGGGGGCUUGAGUAUGUUUGAGGCAGGCGGAAUGCGUGGUGUAGCGGUGAAAUGCUUAGAUAUCACGCAGAACCCCGAUUGCGAAGGCAGCCUGCCAAGCCAUGACUGACGCUGAUGCACGAAAGCGUGGGGAUCAAACAGGAUUAGAUACCCCUGUAGUC
rnacentral:rRNA from 1 species